UACGAAGGUGGCAAGCGUUGUUCGGAUUUACUGGGCGUACCGGGAGCGUAUGCGGUUGGAUAAGCCCUCCGUGAAAUCUCCAGGCUUAACCUGGAAAGUGCAGAGGGGACUGUUCAGCUAGAGGAUGGGAGAGGAGCGCGGAAUUCCCGGUGUAGCGGUGAAAUGCGUAGAGAUCGGGAGGAAGGCCGGUGGCGAAGGCGGCGCUCUGGAACAUUUCUGACGCUGAGGCUCGAAAGCGUGGGGAGCAAACAGG
rnacentral:rRNA from 1 species